UGAAAACUGAAUCAUAAAGAGAUUAAGUACAUCCUCCUGAUAGCCCAGUUGGAAAGAGGGAGUCAAGAUCUAAACAUAAGCUCUCAGACUCUCAAUCUCUUACUUUUUAACCCCACUCCAUCAUGGUGUCAAACCAUUUACUUUCUUGGUUUUAUCAUUGUAUUGCAUUGCUCUACUUUUGUUCACGUCCUUACUGUUUUUGUGUUUUUUUUUAUGUUUUGGCUGUCUCCCUCAUAAUGACUGCUUUCACUACCAAGGCAAUUCUGCCAGGAGAUUCCUCCAUUACUCCUCAACAUUCCCCUGAAGUUGAUGUUUGAGGGGACAUUAAACCUUCUGGAUUUGGUUGUAGAAUAGGCACAGUUCCUCAGGUAAACAUACAGCUGGAUAUCUAACUGGGAAAAUAAAUGAAGUGUUUGUCACGUAAAGGCCUGAGACAGAAUCAUUUUUAUUUGAUUCAGACAUAAGAAAUAAAAACAUGUUUGUCCUGAGCAGGAGAGGAUGGAAUGCAGUGACCCUGUGGAGAAAGCAACCUGAAGUCAGAGCUUGAACAGCAAGACUUCAUUCUCUGCUGGACUGGAGGUGUUACUUCCAGAGGGAGGAAUGGUUCCACCAGGAGACACAACAAGAAUUCCACAGAACUGUAAGCUAAGACUGCCACGUGGUCACUUUAGGCUUCUCAUACCUCCAAAGCAACAAGCAAGGAAGAGAGUUACGGCGUUGGCUAGGGUAAAAGACCCUGGCUACCAAGGGGAAACUGGACAAUUCUUUUAUUAUAUAAUGGAAGAAAGGAAAGUAUUUCUGAAAUACGGGUGAUCCCUUAGUGUGUCUCUUUGUAUUAUCAUGCCUUGUGAUUAAAGCCAAUGAAAAAUUACAAAAACCUAAUCAAGGCAAAACUACUAAUGGCCCCAACAUUUCAGGAAUUAAACCUUGGGUUACCUCACCAGGUAAAGAACCAUAAUCAGCUGCUGUAGUUGCAGAAGGCAAAGGAAAUAUGGAAUAGGUAGUGAGAGAAUGUAGGUAUAAAGACCAACUGCAACCAUCUAAACAAUUAUAGAUAAAAGGACUGUAAUUACUCUGAACAUUAGUUUCUUACGAAUAUGUUUCUUUCUCUUUCACACACACACACAUACACACACACACACACACACACACACACAGUAGUAAGGCUCCCCUAAUAGUCUAACAAGGAGCUGGAAGUUCUGAUGUAGUCAGUCUGCCAAGAGUGGGAGUGGGAAAUGCCCAUGGUUAUGUGGCCUCUGCAUCAUGAGACAAACAGGUCAGAUAUUUCCAUCAGUAGCUGUAAUUCAUUUAUUUAGUUUUCAGACUGCAUUACUAUGUUUAAUUACAUAGUCUGUAGUUUUCCAAGUGGCUAGUCCAAAAAGCUAGACCACUGGCAACAAUUCUAGAGUCUAAAGUAAAUAACCCACAACUAUAAUGGAAGCAAAACCACUGGACACAGGGUUUUAGUUUAGUCAUGCUAUCAAGGAGCCAGCCUCUGGCACUUAGGCCAAUGAAUGGAGGAUCUAGUUGACCCGGUAGCUUUUUUUUAGGCAAAGCAGGGAAGGACAGUUUUUUUUUUUUUCUUUCCAGUGAGAUAGCUGUCCAUUUUUGUUUCUUUCCAGUGAGACAGCUGUCCAUUUUUGUUUCUUUUCUUUUUUUUUUUCAGACAGAGUCUCACCCUGUCAUCCAGGCUGGAGGUUCACUGCAGCCUCAAACUCCUAUGCUCAAGUGAUCCUCCCACUUCAACUUCCCAAGUAGCUGGGACUACAGGUGUGUACCACCACACCAAACUAAUUGUUUCUCUUUAAACAAAUGUCAUAGAGAAGAGGUCUCAUUAUGCUGUCCAGGCUGGUCUCGAACUCUUGGGCUCAAGUGAUCCUUCUGCCCUGGCCUCCCAAAGUGUUGGGAUUAUAGGCAUGAGGCACUGUGCCCAGCCAGUCACUUUUCUUUCAUUCAAAGCCAAUGUGUUGCUGGGGUCGUGUAGGCUAUGUUUUUGAGUAUACCAUUUAUAUUCCUAAGUUAGGAUGUUUGUGUCCUUGUUAGUCAUUGAGUCCGAUUUGACCUUUCACAAAUGAGAAUUUCAGGCCAGAGAGCAAAAAGCCCUUUAUAGGUCAGGUGUUCAGUUUCAGCAAGAGCCCAGUAGCAAGCUAAUAGUUGUUUUCUAAAAGCAGUGCACCUGGUAGCUAUGUUAAGGAGGCCAAAAGUCUAAAACUCCAAAAGGCACCUCUCGGAGGUGGAGGUUGUCUCCCUUUACCAGAGGCUGACAUUUGAAAAAUUAUAAGUUGUAGAGAUUUGUACUAUCUGUAACACUCAAAGUAUUUAAUAGGUUGCUGGGCAUCCCUUUUGAUGCUGGAGCCAAAAAGAGGAAAGAUUUCCCCUGAAUAUCAAACUCAUCGUUGUGAAUCCACUCACAUCUUCUCAACUUUUAAAUAGCAAGGCUGUUUGGUAUUUAAAAUUUGGUAGCCUAUGCUGAAGAAGGGUGAUUGCACUACAGUUAGGGCCUUCAACACUAAAGUUUCUGAUGAACCAAUUGACAGUACAUCAUCCGUAUAGUAAGUGCCUUAAACAUUAGAGGAUAGAGGCACUCAUGGCAAAUCCUGAUCCACCUAGUGGCAGAUGGCAGGGGAGUUGGCUUCAGUAGCAUCUUUCUAUCUGCAGCUCUCUCAUUGUUGGGAUAAUCUUCUCUGGCAAAUAUGGAGUGGAGAAGUUCAAGCAUAUGACACAUCAAUUUCUGGUAUAUAUUCAAAUGCAAAAGUAAGGAAAAUAUUACAUUAAUUGGCUCAAGGAUCCCCAUUUUCUGGAUUCAAUGAUCCAUAGGUAUUUUCAUGUUUCUGCUCCAUUAGGCCUUUCUGGGUAAAGAGAACUGGCACUGGGUUAAAGGGUGAUUGAAUGGCAAAUAAUCCUUAGAAGUUAAAGACCGAGGUCUCAGAGAGAUUUAGUGAUAGCUCCCCACUAGAUAUUUGCUCACCUUGCAAAGUGUAAUACAAACAUCAGCCUGUAAGGCUGAUGUAAAAGCUUCUGUAAAAGCUUGGAGCUUCACAAUUUUGUGAUUUUCUCAGUGUGAUGUAUACUCCUGCAUUCACAGACACAUCUGGUUCUCAUUACUUGGUGCUUGGAGAUUUAGGGCAUGAGAAAUAGGACCCAGAUGCUCUGUGGAAGAAAGGUAUGUUCCCUGAUCCAGAGAUCUGGGGUUUUUCUGUAUAAGUAUUUUAAUAGUAUCUAUCAUCUAUCUAUCUAUCUAUCUAUCUAUCUAUCUAUCUAUCUAUCUAUCUAUCUAUCAUCUAUCAUCUAUCUACCUAAUCUAUCGAAUCUGUCUCUCUACCAUAUCAUCUAUCUAUCUAUUAUCUAUCUACCUAAUCUAUCUAAUCUGUCUCUCUACCAUUGGCAAGCUACUGGUUAGGUUGCAAGUAGAGUCCCUUCUAAUAUCCUUCACAGUGCUAGACCUAACACUCACCUGCAAGUACACUGAAUUUCCCUCUUACAUUGUGACCCCUGCCCAAAUGUAUGAGCCAAAUCCAGCCACUUCCAAACCUUGUUGAUUCAGAGGUAUGAGGAACCCAAAGUAACCAGGUGGCAGUCUUAGCAAGAUGACCAGAUCUAAGCGGAAUGAUUACCUGAAUGUUUGUAUUCAACAGAAUCAUAAAAGUUUGGGUCCCUCCCUUUCUUGACAUUCCACAGUAUAUUGAACAUUUUUCUUUUUCCUUAAAACAGCAGAGAUCAGGUAGAGGGGAAAGGAAGAAUAAGAGUGUUCAGAGAAAGAGACCUAAAUACAUGAAAUAUAUGUAUAUUUAACUUGUCUGUGGUCAUUCUUUUACAAGUAUGUCGAAAGUAUAAAAUAUUUUCAAUGAAGUAUUAUUUUUAGUAUGUCGUUCUAUGUUGAUUUACAGGAAUUACUUUAAAAUAAAGUAAUCAUUACAUACAACAGAGUAGUUAACAGUGGCAAAAAAGUUAUAGAAAUUUAUAAUUUAAAAAAGGAGAGGUCAAUAAAAUAUAGUUUUGAGGGAAGAAAAGCACGUUAAAUAAUAAUACAGCUACAGCAGGUGUUGGCAAACGAUGGCCUCUUGGACAAAUUUUGCCCAUGGCUUGUUCUUGCACAUUCCUUGAUCUAAGAAGAUAAAUAAUACAAAUAUUGUACUGUGCAUUUAAAAUUUUCUUAAGAGGAUAGCUCUUAUGUGAAGUGUCCUUACCAUAAUAACACAAAAUUAAAAAGUGAUUUUUUUAUUAAAUAGAGUAGAAAAGGGGAGAAAGGGAAGAAGAAUAAAGAAAAGGAGAUGCUGCUGCCAUUGAAACCAUAUUUAGCCAACAAAAAUAAAACAAUUACUUCCAGACUCUGUAUAGAAAAUAUUUGCCAAGCAUUAUUGUACUGCAUGAUAAUAUUUUUGUAAGACACAAACACACAAAUACUAUAUAUACUUAACAUAGGUAAUUAAUUGUUAAAAUUUCAAUAAGUGUUUUAUAUAAAUCCAACCAUAGCUUUCUUCCUAAUAAUAUGAAAACUAAAAAUGUGAAAAAUUAAUAUAGAGGGACUGGUUAACGAAUCAUAUCUUAAAAUAAGGUUACAAUUUAUGUAAUUUACUACACAAUUUCUUUCUUAACAUUGCCUUCUAGAAAUACCACUAUUUUAAUUAAUAUGUAAAACAUAUAUUUUAGAUAAGCCGUAUAUUUUUCCGAAGUUGAAUCCUGUUAAUAGCUAUUCCGUUGUUUCUUAGUUUUUCUUUUUAACUUAAGCAAUGGUAUAAUAAAACAAUCACAUACCUGUAUUUUUUAUUACUGGUUUUUUUCUAUGGGAGAGAUUACUAAGAAUUAAAUUUCUAGGUUGUGGUAUAUUUAUUGUUUUAAUUUUAAUAGCUAUCUCUGUAUUAUUUCCUUUGUAAAACAGAACUAUUGUAAUAAUAUACACUUCUACCAGAAAUGUAUGAGAAAGACUCUUUUUGUGAAUCCCUGAGAGAUACUUUGUUACUGCUCGUCUUUAUUUUUACCACUCCUACUCUAAUUUAUAAGAUAUGGUUCUACUUUGUAAUGUUGGUUGUAUUAACAUUAAACAAUGAAUAAAAUUUGAAGAAAA
rnacentral:lncRNA from 1 species